rnacentral:misc_RNA from 1 species
GCAAACUUGGUCAUUUAGAGGAAGUAAAAGUCGUAACAAGGUUUCCGUAGGUGAACCUGCGGAAGGAUCAUUAACGAGUUGGCAGGUUGUCGCUGGGCUUCGUUGUAAGCCAUGUGCACGCCUGUAUUAAAAAUCCACUCUUUCCAACCUCUGUGCACUUUUUUUUGUAGGUCGGUUGAAAAGCUGGUUUAUAUUUUUGUAAGCCAGGCUGGAAGACCCUCCUGCAUUUUUUUCUUUACUACAAACGAGUCAGUUAUAGAAUGUUUGGCUUGCGUUAUAACGCGUCUAUUAUAUACAACUUUCAGCAACGGAUCUCUUGGCUCUCGCAUCGAUGAAGAACGCAGC